UGUUAAUUAUGAACCUGUAGGUAGCCUUAUAUUCCUGUUAAUUAUGAACCUGUAGGUAGCCUUAUAUCCCUGUUAAUUAUGAACCUGUAGGUAGCCUUAUAUCCCUCUGUUAAUUAUGAACUGUAGGUAGCUUAUAUCCCUCUGUUAAUUAUGAACCUGUAGGUAGCCUUAUAUCCUCUGUUAAUUAUGAACCUGUAGGUAGCCUUAUAUCCCUUGUUAAUUAUGAACCUGUA